AGCCUUGAUAUAGAGAGAGGUUAUCAGCUGGGAUAUGCAUUGUAGAGUGACCCCCAACCCCUACGUCCACCUUCAGCAUUUGAAAGCAACAUGAGAAUCUACUAUGAAAUUGGGUGGUUGCCCCACUCCCUAAAUGUUGCUAAAUAAAAAUGGAUUGAUCUCUAGUCAUCCAAGAAAAUUCUCUUAUCUCCUAAGUGAGGCUCACUGUUGUGUGAAAGAGCCUUCAAGCUAGU
rnacentral:lncRNA from 1 species